rnacentral:rRNA from 1 species
CCUACGGGAGGCAGCAGUGAGGAAUAUUGGUCAAUGGCCGGAAGGCUGAACCAGCCAAGCCGCGUGAGGGAGGAAGGCGCAGAGCGUCGCAGACCUCUUUUGCCGGGGGACAAAAGGCCGGACUCGUCCGCGCCUGAGGGUACCCGGAGAAAAAGCAUCGGCUAACUCCGUGCCAGCAGCCGCGGUAAUACGGAGGAUGCGAGCGUUAUCCGGAUUCAUUGGGUUUAAAGGGUGCGCAGGCGGGCCUUUAAGCCGGCGGGGAAAGCGCGGGGCUCAACCCCGCCGCGCCGUCGAAACUGGGGGCCUUGAGUGCGACGGAAGCAUGCGGAAUGCGCGGUGUAGCGGUGAAAUGCAUAGAUAUCGCGCAGAACCCCGAUUGCGAAGGCAGCAUGCCGUGCCGCCACUGACGCUGAGGCACGAAAGCGCGGGGAUCGAACAGGAUUAGAUACCCGGGUAGUC